rnacentral:rRNA from 1 species
CCUACGGGGCGCUGCAGUGGGGAAUAUUGGACAAUGGGCGAAAGCCUGAUCCAGCCAUGCCGCGUGUGUGAAGAAGGCCUUCGGGUUGUAAAGCACUUUCAGUGGGGAAGAAAGCCUUGGGGCUAAUACCCUCGAGGAAGGACAUCACCCACAGAAGAAGCACCGGCUAACUCCGUGCCAGCAGCCGCGGUAAUACGGAGGGUGCGAGCGUUAAUCGGAAUUACUGGGCGUAAAGCGCGCGUAGGCGGUCUGGUAAGCCGGUUGUGAAAGCCCCGGGCUCAACCUGGGAACGGCAUCCGGAACUGUCAGGCUAGAGUGCAGGAGAGGAAGGUAGAAUUCCCGGUGUAGCGGUGAAAUGCGUAGAGAUCGGGAGGAAUACCAGUGGCGAAGGCGGCCUUCUGGACUGACACUGACGCUGAGGUGCGAAAGCGUGGGUAGCAAACAGGAUUAGAUACCCGGGUAGUC